rnacentral:rRNA from 1 species
GAUGAACGCUGGCGGCGUGCUUAACACAUGCAAGUCGAACGAUGAAGCCCAGCUUGCUGGGUGGAUUAGUGGCGAACGGGUGAGUAACACGUGAGUAACCUGCCCUUAACUCUGGGAUAAGCCUGGGAAACUGGGUCUAAUACCGGAUAGGAGCGUCCACCGCAUGGUGGGUGUUGGAAAGAUUUAUCGGUUUUGGAUGGACUCGCGGCCUAUCAGCUUGUUGGUGAGGUAAUGGCUCACCAAGGCGACGACGGGUAGCCGGCCUGAGAGGGUGACCGGCCGCACUGGGACUGAGACACGGCCCAGACUCCUACGGGAGGCAGCAGUGGGGAAUAUUGCACAAUGGGCGCAAGCCUGAUGCAGCGACGCCGCGUGAGGGAUGACGGCCUUCGGGUUGUAAACCUCUUUCAGUAGGGAAGAAGCGAAAGUGACGGUACCUGCAGAAAAAGCGCCGGCUAACUACGUG